GAGGAUUUAGCUUAAUUAAAGUAAUUGAUUUGCAUUCAGUAGAUGUAGGAUAGAUUCUUGCAGUCCUUA
rnacentral:tRNA from 1 species